rnacentral:rRNA from 1 species
UACGUAGGGUGCAGGCGUUAAUCGGAAUUACUGGGCGUAAAGCGUGCGCAGGCGGUUUCUUAAGUCAGAUGUGAAAGCCCCGGGCUUAACCUGGGAACUGCGUUUGAAACUGGGAGACUCGAGUGUGGCAGAGGGGGGUGGAAUUCCACGUGUAGCAGUGAAAUGCGUAGAGAUGUGGAGGAACACCGAUGGCGAAGGCAGCCCCCUGGGUCAAGAUUGACGCUCAUGCACGAAAGCGUGGGGAGCAAACAGG